rnacentral:rRNA from 1 species
UACGGGGGGCAAGCGUUGUUCGGAAUUACUGGGCGUAAAGGGCUCGUAGGCGGCCAACUAAGUCAGACGUGAAAUCCCUCGGCUUAACCGGGGAACUGCGUCUGAUACUGGAUGGCUGGAGUUUGGGAGAGGGAUGCGGAAUUCCAGGUGUAGCGGUGAAAUGCGUAGAUAUCUGGAGGAACACCGGUGGCGAAGGCGGCAUUCUGGACCGACAUUGACGCUGAGGAGCGAAAGCCAGGGGAGCAAACGGGG